rnacentral:rRNA from 1 species
GACGAACGCUGGCGGCGUGCUUAACACAUGCAAGUCGAGCGGAAAGGCCCCUUCGGGGGUACUCGAGCGGCGAACGGGUGAGUAACACGUGGGUAAUCAACCCCUGACAUCGGGAUACCCCGGGGAAACCCGGAUCAAUACCGAAUAAGGUGCGGAGUCGCUGGACGCCGUACCAAAGGUAGCUUCGGCCUCCGGUCAGGGACGAGCCCGCGGCCCAUUAGCUUGUUGGCGGGGUAAUGGCCCACCAAGGCGACGAUGGGUAGCUGGUCUGAGAGGACGAUCAGCCACACUGGGACUGAGACACGGCCCAGACUCCUACGGGAGGCAGCAGUGGGGAAUAUUGCGCAAUGGGCGAAAGCCUGACGCAGCAACGCCGCGUGCGGGAAGAAGGCUCUCGGGUCGUAAACCGCUUUCAGCAGGGACGAAGCUUCCGGGGUUAAUAGCCUACGGGGUGACGGUACCUGCAGAAGAAGCCCCGGCUAACUACGUGCCAGCCGCCGCAGUAACAC